GAUGAACGCUGGCGGCGUGCUUAACACAUGCAAGUCGAACGAAGCACUUUAUUUGAUUUCCUUCGGGACUGAUUAUUUUGUGACUGAGUGGCGGACGGGUGAGUAACGCGUGGGUAACCUGCCUUGUACAGGGGGAUAACAGUUGGAAACGGCUGCUAAUACCGCAUAAGCGCACGGCAUCGCAUGAUGCAGUGUGAAAAACUCCGGUGGUAUAAGAUGGACCCGCGUUGGAUUAGCUAGUUGGUGGGGUAACGGCCCACCAAGGCGACGAUCCGUAGCCGACCUGAGAGGGUGACCGGCCACAUUGGGACUGAGACACGGCCCAAACUCCUACGGGAGGCAGCAGUGGGGAAUAUUGCACAAUGGGCGAAAGCCUGAUGCAGCGACGCCGCGUGAGCGAAGAAGUAUUUCGGUAUGUAAAGCUCUAUCAGCAGGGAAGAUAAUGACGGUAC
rnacentral:rRNA from 1 species